AAGAAAAAUUAAAAGAUAAAAGAGUCAAUCUUGCUUUGAUUGGUUUUUCUUUUCUCUUUAUCUUGGACUUGAAGAGACAUCUUUUGCACGUGCUAUAGGGUCAACUGAUGCAAAUGACUAUGAUGGUUACACCCAACAUCAACAAAGAGUCGCAUUACCUUAACAAGGAAGAUCGGUUGCUGCGCUGGCUUGUGGUCAAACACCGAGAUGCAAAAUAUGGGCUGGAAUUUCUUAGUGAAGAGGACAGCAGAAAUGAACUCAGUAAGUUUCCUCGAAGCAGUUUAUAUGAUAAUCAAGAUGUUGAUGAAGACGAUGACAACGACGAUAAAUAUGAUGUGGAUGAAGAAGAAGGAAAGCAGACAUAAGUAACUAGAAUGACAGGUGAACUUCAUUGGAUUCAAUAGUCA